rnacentral:rRNA from 1 species
AGAGUUGAUCCUGGCUCAGGAUGAACGCUAGCGACAGGCUUAACACAUGCAAGUCGAGGGGCAGCACAGGUAGCAAUACCGGGUGGCGACCGGCGCACGGGUGAGUAACGCGUAUGCAACUUACCUAUCAGAGGGGGAUAACCCGGCGAAAGUCGGACUAAUACCGCAUGAAGCAGGGGCCCCGCAUGGGGAUAUUUGCUAAAGAUUCAUCGCUGAUAGAUAGGCAUGCGUUCCAUUAGGCAGUUGGCGGGGUAACGGCCCACCAAACCGACGAUGGAUAGGGGUUCUGAGAGGAAGGUCCCCCACAUUGGUACUGAGACACGGACCAAACUCAUACGGGAGGCAGCA